AAAAAAGUCAUACUUUAAUAAUAAAAACUCCCUUCAAAAGACUGAAGUCGUACACUGAGAGAAAAUGUUUGCAAACCAGAAAUUUGACAAAAGACUUGUCAACAGAGCAAACAAACCAAAGGAAGGCUAUCAAGAUGCUGGUAAAGGAACUUGUCACGCAAGUCUGACAACCUGAGUUUAAUCCUGGAACCCAGUUAAAGGUGGAAGAAAAACAACUCCACAGAGGUCUCCCCUGACCACCACAGGCUGGCACACCCACACACACCCCCACACCCCCCCACACACAAACAAAUUAAUAAUAAACUGAAGAUGAAUUCAAAUCUAAUGGAUUCUUAAAUGGAACAAGAAAACAACUCAAUGUGGAAAAAUGUACAAAAGAUUUUGAGUGAUAACAAAUAAGAUAGGCUAAUAACAGAUAAGCAUUUUAAAACUUGUCUAGCCGGGCAGUGGAGGUGCACACCUUUAAUCCCAGCACUCGGGAGGCAGAUGCAGGCAGGUUUCUGAGUUUGAGGCCAGCCUGGUCUACAGAGUGAGUCUUGAACCCCGCCCCCGCCCAAAAAAAAAUCUAGAGAAAUGGUUUUCAAAGUUCUUUUUAGAUUAUUUUAUGUGUGUGAAUGUUUUCCCUGUCUGUAUGUCUGUGUACCAUAUGUGUUCCUGUGCCCAUGGAGGUCAGAAGACGGUACCAAAAUCUCUGGAACUGGAGUUACAGAUGUUUAUAAGCCACCAUGUGAGUGCUGGGAAUCAAACCUGAUAAUCCGGAAACCUAUCCAGUUCUAUACAUCCAGAGCUGGAUUCAUCACCUUCUUUACCUGCGUGGUAUCUGACUCUGUAUCGGUGCAUGGAGCUGUUUGAGAAAGAUCAGAGGAUGUGCCCUUGUUGGAGGAGAUGUGUCCCUGGGGGAAGGUCUUGAAACUUCAAAUGCCCACUCACUCCAUUCUCAGCACCUCUCUUCCUCAUGUCUAUGAAUCAGGAUGGGAAGUUCUCAGCUACUUCUCUAGCACCAUACCUGCCUGCCAGAUGCCGUGCUCCCUGCCAUGAUGGUCAUGAACUCACCCUUUAAAACUGUAAGCCCUCAAUAAAGUCUUUCUUCU
rnacentral:lncRNA from 1 species